AAGCUUGUAGUGAAAUUCGGGCCUGGCUGGACGGUCCGCCCUUCGGGUGAGUACUGUCUGUGGUCGGGUCCUACCCUCUGGCGAAGCGUCAUGGCCUUAACCGGCCGUGGCGGGGAACCAGGACUUUUACUGUGAAAAAAUUAGAGUGUUCAAAGCAGGCAAUCGCUGGGAUACAUUAGCAUGGAAUAAUGGAAUAGGACAAUGGUUCUAUUUGUUGGUUUCUAGGACCGUUGUAAUGAUUAAUAGGGAUAGUUAGGG
rnacentral:rRNA from 1 species